rnacentral:rRNA from 1 species
UACGGAGGAUGCGAGCGUUAUCCGGAUUUAUUGGGUUUGAAGGGUGCGUAGGCGGGCUUUUAAGUCAGCGGUAAAAAUUCGGGGCUCAACCCCGUCCGGCCGUUGAAACUGGGGGUCUUGAGUGGGCGAGAAGAAGGCGGAAUGCGUGGUGUAGCGGUGAAAUGCAUAGAUAUCACGCAGAACCCCGAUUGCGAAGGCAGCCUUCCGGCGCCCUACUGACGCUGAGGCACGAAAGUGCGGGGAGCAAACAGG